GACGAACGCUGGCGGCGUGCUUAACACAUGCAAGUCGAACGGUGAAGGGACUGGUUUUGCUGGUCCUGGAUGAGUGGCGAACGGGUGAGUAACACGUGAGUAACCUGCCCCCUUCUUCUGGAUAACCGCAUGAAAGUGUGGCUAAUACGGGAUAUUCUGGGUCUGUCGCAUGGUGGGCCUGGGAAAGAUUGCGCCUUUUUUGGUGUUUUUGGUGGGGGAUGGGCUCGCGGCCUAUCAGCUUGUUGGUGGGGUGAUGGCCUACCAAGGCGGUGACGGGUAGCCGGCUGAGAGGGUGGACGGUCACACUGGGACUGAGACACGGCCCAGACUCCUACGGGAGGCAGCAGUGGGGAAUAUUGCACAAUGGGCGCAAGCCUGAUGCAGCGACGCCGCGUGAGGGAUGGAGGCCUUCGGGUUGUGAACCUCUUUCGCCAGUGAAGCAGGCCUGCCUCUUUGUGUGGGUGGGUUGACGGUAGCUGGAUAAGAAGCGCCGGCUAACUACGUG
rnacentral:rRNA from 1 species